CAUGAAUCACAUGACGUUGCCAGCAAGCACAGCUGACCAAAGCAGUAAAAGAUGCUGGUCCAGAGGUGCCCUACCAGAGGCCAGGAGUCACUGAUCCCGUCUUCAGCUUGCUGCCUUCACUUGCCCCAAGGUAAACUUCUUCCUCUUAGGGCAAGCGCAGCAGCUUGAAAGAUCAAGGCAGGCUGCAACCAGCCCUGAUCCUACUCACACAUGUAUUUGUGUUCAAGUUUUAUUAAUGAUGAAGUUUUCAUUUCUGUAUUGCUACUUUUUUCUUUUUCUUUCACAGUAUGGACCUCAGUGGUAAAUCCUGGCAUGCUGCCUUAAACCCUAGAGAGUUACUGCCAGUUGAUGUAGACUGAGUUACAGUACUUUGACUCAGUAUAAGUUCUUACAGAGUGUAUUUUUUAUUAUGGCCUGUGGACAACACAUCUCCACUCAAUUUAUCAUCUAUCUCAGUAUAAGUAACUGUAGAGCACCAAAGCUGUACACCACUAGCACCCCCUCAAUGUAACCUGAUUGUUUUAAAAUAGCUUGGUUCUGGCAUCAGAACAGUUUAUCUGCUAAUGAACCAUUUCGAGCAAAUGCCUACUGGAUAUCCACAGAGUACAAAUGCAAAGAGAUGUUCAAGUUCACGGUGUACAGGGGAAGCAAUAAUAUUUGCACAAAAUCUCCUCGGUGGAUAUUCAACAUGUGGAACGAGAAUGGAAUGUCUACUAAAGUUUCCAAAGAAAUAAAAAAAGUUGCCUUAUCCUGAAAAGUCCUGUAAUACUGAGGUGACUCUCCAUUAAACAGUUGAAAACAAUAGACUUCAGAUAGGGCAGCUAGAUAUCACAGCUCUUUUGAUAGUGUGUUCAAUUUUCUGAAGGACUGUGAUGGAGCUACAAUGCAAUAGGACAGCAGAGUUUCAGAAUCGGCUCUGUUCCCUUUCCCUGCUCUAUGAGGUUUCAGCUGUCAGUGCUGUCUUGUUUGUCUCUUACAGCUCUGUUCAGGUAAUAGAAGCCACAGUAAACCAGGGCUCCUGCUCUUAGGGAGGUUUCCAAGCUUAUGCAGUUAAUGUGCUAUGAAGCCCUCUUCAAAUCUUUGCACUAAUAACAAAUAGAUUUGAAGAGCAGCCCACUAGUGUGUGUGUGUGUGCCCUUUCCUCAGCUUCAGUUUUACUUGUCAUGUGUUUAGGGAACUGCUGAACAACACCAUAGAUUACUCUAAAUGCAGAGCGCUGAAUGAACUAUAGUAAUUUCCAGUUCCAACAACUCAUUAUAGAUAGAUAACUCAGCAUUGAAGAAGAAGAAGAAGAGGAGUUUGGAUUUGAUAUCCCGCCUUUCACUCCCUUUAAGGAGUCUCAAAGCAGCUAACAUUCUCCUUUCCCUUCCUCCCCCACAGCAAACACUCUGUGAGGUGCGUGGGGCUGAGAGACUUCAGAGAAGUGUGACUAGCCCAAGGUCACCCAGCAGCUGCAUGUGGAGGAGCGGAGACGUGAACCCGGUUCCCCAGAUUACGAGACUACCGCUCUUAACCACUACACCACACUGGCUCCAGUGUACAAUUGCUAAUUGUAGUGCAGGGUGGAGUGAAGCAACUUUCACUGAAUUCAUGGCUGUGGAGGGAUGGCAUAAAACUUCCCUCCCCACACUCACUGGUCCCAGUGAAAAUCACCUGUCCAUCCUUAUUAUUAAAUAAAUAGAUGUGAUUGCCUGUAACACAUUUGGUAGACUGUGCAAAUGAUCUGUCCGAAUCUCAAACCAAACUGAGAUGAUUUGUGCCAAAUCUGGAUGAGGUCAAGGCAGCUACAAAUUGCUAUCAGGUGGAAAGAAUGUCUCCCAAGUGUUGCAUCACAGAAAGAGAACGCCAGGGUGGGGAGAAGAGGGGCAGGGGAACUAGAUUUUGCUCACUGAGAGCUCUGCCUUCCAAUCCAGAGCCAGAAUCUCACCCAACAUUCUCUACUAUGUUUGGGGUGGGGGGGGAAGAUGGUCUUAAAAUGCAGCAAGCUCCCACCACUUUCACUAUUCUAUAUAUGCUAUUUCUUAGAAACGGUUUGGUGGGGUUGUGGCAUUUGUUCAGUAUGCAUUCCGCUUCCUUCACAGUACCCUACCCAGAUUUAUACCUGUUCAUUUGCCAUCAUUAUGGUGCUGGAGGAGACUCUUGAGAGUCCCAUGGACUGCAAGAAGAUUAAACCUAUCCAUUCUGAAGGAAAUCAGCCCUGAGUGCUCACUGGAAGGACAGAUCCUGAAGCUGAGGCUCCAAUACUUUGGCCACCUCAUGAGAAGAGAAGACUCCCUGGAAAAGACCCUGAUGCUGGGAAAGAUGGAGGGCACAAGGAGAAGGGGACGACAGAGGACGAGAUGGUUGGACAGUGUUCUCGAAGCUGCUAACAUGAGUUUGACCAAACUACGGGAGGCAGUGGAAGACAGGAGUGCCUG
rnacentral:lncRNA from 1 species